rnacentral:rRNA from 1 species
AACGCUGGCGGCGUGCCUAAUACAUGCAAGUCGAACGAACUCUGGUAUUGAUUGGUGCUUGAUCAUGAUUUACAUUUGAGUGAGUGGCGAACUGGUGAGUAACACGUGGGAAACCUGCCCAGAAGCGGGGGAUAACACCUGGAAACAGAUGCUAAUACCGCAUAACAACUUGGACCGCAUGGUCCGAGCUUGAAAGAUGGCUUCGGCUAUCACUUUUGGAUGGUCCCGCGGCGUAUUAGCUAGAUGGUGGGGUAACGGCUCACCAUGGCAAUGAUACGUAGCCGACCUGAGAGGGUAAUCGGCCACAUUGGGACUGAGACACGGCCCAAACUCCUACGGGAGGCAGCAGUAGGGAAUCUUCCACAAUGGACGAAAGUCUGAUGGAGCAACGCCGCGUGAGUGAAGAAGGGUUUCGGCUCGUAAAACUCUGUUGUUAAAGAAGAACAUAUCUGAGAGUAACUGUUCAGGUAUUGACGGUAUUUAACCAGAAAGCCACGGCUAACUACGUGCCAGCAGCCGCGGUAAUACGUAGGUGGCAAGCGUUGUCCGGAUUUAUUGGGCGUAAAGCGAGCGCAGGCGGUUUUUUAAGUCUGAUGUGAAAGCCUUCGGCUCAACCGAAGAAGUGCAUCGGAAACUGGGAAACUUGAGUGCAGAAGAGGACAGUGGAACUCCAUGUGUAGCGGUGAAAUGCGUAGAUAUAUGGAAGAACACCAGUGGCGAAGGCGGCUGUCUGGUCUGUAACUGACGCUGAGGCUCGAAAGUAUGGGUAGCAAACAGGAUUAGAUACCCUGGUAGUCCAUACCGUAAACGAUGAAUGCUAAGUGUUGGAGGGUUUCCGCCCUUCAGUGCUGCAGCUAACGCAUUAAGCAUUCCGCCUGGGGAGUACGGCCGCAAGGCUGAAACUCAAAGGAAUUGACGGGGGCCCGCACAAGCGGUGGAGCAUGUGGUUUAAUUCGAAGCUACGCGAAGAACCUUACCAGGUCUUGACAUACUAUGCAAAUCUAAGAGAUUAGACGUUCCCUUCGGGGACAUGGAUACAGGUGGUGCAUGGUUGUCGUCAGCUCGUGUCGUGAGAUGUUGGGUUAAGUCCCGCAACGAGCGCAACCCUUAUUAUCAGUUGCCAGCAUUAAGUUGGGCACUCUGGUGAGACUGCCGGUGACAAACCGGAGGAAGGUGGGGAUGACGUCAAAUCAUCAUGCCCCUUAUGACCUGGGCUACACACGUGCUACAAUGGAUGGUACAACGAGUUGCGAACUCGCGAGAGUAAGCUAAUCUCUUAAAGCCAUUCUCAGUUCGGAUUGUAGGCUGCAACUCGCCUACAUGAAGUCGGAAUCGCUAGUAAUCGCGGAUCAGCAUGCCGCGGUGAAUACGUUCCCGGGCCUUGUACACACCGCCCGUCACACCAUGAGAGUUUGUAACACCCAAAGUCGGUGGGGUAACCUUUUAGGAACCAGCCGCCUAAGGUGGGACAGAUGAUUAGGGUGAAGUCGUAACAAGGUAGCCGUAG